UUUCCGCUAAUAAAAAUAGCAUUUUUUAAAAUUAAAACAAAUAUCGCAUUCCCGCCAAAAAUUGCGCGGGAAUUUCUAUGCUGGGCUAUGUGAAACAAAUAACAACUUGGCCCGGUAAAGCAAGGUGGCCCGCUUUAACGGGCCAGCCCAGCUCAUAUGAACCCAAACAAUCUAUAUUUAUCAUAAAUUUCAUGACAUGAACUUAACGGAUUUGUGCAAUUGAGAGCCGUUUCAAAAUUUUAUAUUUUUUCUGAUACACCCUUUAGAUUUUUUUUUCAUUUUCGAAUUUCAAUUUACCUUUUUCUACCAGUUUACCAAGAGAGUCUUGUAAGCAUCUCAUUUCACAAAAAUCUUUACCAUCUUUGUUAUUGCUCGUCUAAACCAUAACAAGAAUUAAAGAAUUUGCAAAUCUAACAUUUCGGAUCAUUUCAGCACAGUGACAUGCUGAUUUUAAGCAUUGAAUAUAAAAUCAGAGCCACCCG